rnacentral:lncRNA from 1 species
GAUGGGAUGUAGCAGAAGCCGCUCCAGCAGCUCCUGAUUUUGGAGCAAAGAUAAAUCCUCUGAUUGAUUUGCUGUGAAGUUCUUCAUUUGGUGACUAAUGCAGAUGUACCGGAUGAGCCUGGCAAAAUCUCUGACCCUUUCUGGUCUUCUCUAUUGUUUCUCACAUGAACAGUCCCACGGAUGCCACUAGAGGAUGAAGGCUCUUAUUCUGGAUAUCAGUCCACUGUUGGAGGUACAGUUGGCAAGGACUUUCUUCCAUCCUGUGAGGCUGCCUCUUCACUUCACAGCUUCUUUCGCUCUAUAAAAGUUUUAAAAAUUAAAAAAAAAUCACUUUACAGUGUGUGUGUGUGUGUGUGUGUGUGUGUGUGUGUGUGUACCACAGUGAUUGUGUAGUGGUCAGAGGACAACUUGUGGGAGUCAGUUCUUUCCUUCUGCCCUGUCUGGGGACUGAACUCAGAUCAUUAUGCCUCACGGUGUGCACCUUGGCCCACUUGGCCAUGUCUUGCUGGCGCUGUAGAAGCUUUGCAACAUCAUGAGGUCUCAUCUGUCAAUUGUUGGCUGCUGCACUCUUUUAAUAACAACUUUUGCUGAACACUUACGAUAGUGAUAGUUAUUUCUCUAAGUGCUUCUAGCAAGGGGAGUCUAACUUUUUAACAGUUGCCACACACUGGGUUAAUCACCACUCUUG